CUCAAGCACACAGACACACUUCCGGAUUCGGUCGAAUGGUCAAAUGCUAAAACAAAACUAUGAAAACAAAUUUUUGACAUUUAAAAAUCAACUCCCAGAAAAUCCCGAUCACUGAUCGUAGUAACCAACCAAAAUCCACCCCUCGAAAAAAACAACGAUCACCACGGCCAGCCGUAACCAUGGUAGCCAUAGUUACCCGAAAUCAACAAAUCAACAGGCUGAAAAGUUAUAGUGGUCGAGUGCAGACCCCCCAACCAGCCAUACCCGCUUGAGAGGUUGUAGUGAACGGACGCUACUAAUUUUUCUCUCUUUCUCGUUUCAGGAACCAUCGCGAUGGGAGCGAAAAUGUCUCGCCGAAAUGGGCGUAGAGCGGCCACGGCUACUCUGGAGGAGGAUAUGCAGACGGGGGGGACGGAACUUAACCGGGUCGCGAGUAGCGGACAGGUCGAUGCCAAGCCGGAGAUUCCGGAACCGGAUCUGCCGGUUGUCGAACCAAAUUUAUAUGAUGACUCUUUUGACAAUUCUGACAAACCGGCAGAUUUGGCUCCGGAGUCGCCGUCGGUAAUUGUAAUUUCAUUAAAUAACUGUUUGGACAUAACUGCGGCGGAUUCCAUCUCGGAACCGCCCGCAGAAAUAAAUUUUUCUUUACAGGUUGCAACGACGACAUUCGAGGAGGUGGUUCCAAUGCCGGAUCCACCGAUAGAGGAGCAAAAUUUGAUGAAUUGCGAUUUGGAAAUUUCCGAAAAAUCGGUGGAUCCGGCAUCGGAGCCACCGAAGACCGACGACGACUCAAAUACGCUUUCGAUCCCAACGGCGGAGGUGGUUUCCACCGUGGAACCGCCCGCUGACCUAAAUUCAUGUAAAAUUGAAAUCUCUCUUUCAGAUAACGAUCCGGAACCACUUUCGGAACAUACAAAUCUAAAUUUAGAAACUAAUUCUCCUCAAAUUCUAGAUGAUCCCGGACAAUGUUCGUACUCCGUUUCGGUCGAAAUUCCUCCGGAAGUGGUUCCGGAGCCACCACCAAAUUCCAAAUUUGAUACAAAAUAUUUUUGGUGUUACGUCUGUCAAAAUUCAGGUACAAACACAUUGCCAUGGUUGCUUCGAUUGAAGUAUUCCAAGCCGGCAAUGUGUUUGAAAUAUUUGUUUACAGGCUCGAUGUGCUGCAUUGCUCUAGGGUUGCUUGUUUUUGUUUAACUAAUUUUUGUUGUUAUUAUUUAAUUGCAGUUUCACGUUUCUUGUUUCAUGAGCGAUUCUCUGUUGCUUACUGAUGAUGAUUUGCGUUAAUUGGAUUGGAACGAUUGGAGAUAUUUAGUGCAAUAAAUAGAAUUGACUGUACUUUUUGAGGAUGACGAUGAUGACGUGGAGAUGAUGAUACUACUGACCAUAUGAAUAUAUUUGAUGUUGAGAAGAUUAAGGCCGACUGGACGAUUAGGUCGAUGGCGAAGGAGCACGAUGGCGAAGACGCACGAUGGCUGCAGCGGAUGUUUGAAGACUUGAAGAUUUAUCAUAUUAAUGAAUUGUAAUAUAUUGAUUUGUAUUGAUAUUUGAAUUGUUUGGAAUAAACGAUACAAAAAAACCCAACAAUCUCGGCAACAAUUUUGUUUUCAUUUCAAAUAUGAGAAAGUUAACCAUUAGGGUGGGUACGGAUUUUGAAAAGUUCUCAGAUCAAGUUCUGGUGUGGUUCCCCUUGUAGGGCAUACCCAUAGGGACUCUCACGCCAAAUUUCAGCUCAUUUGGUUGAAAACUGGCUUGUCUCAAGCGAGUUCAAGUUUACAUGGGAUUUACUAUGGGAAAUUUUGAAUUUUCGUUCAUUCACUCCUACAGGCCUGGGGAAAACAUGUAGAAACUUCUAGGAUGGCCAGAAAUGAGCGGAAUCGUCUGGAGAACAACUUUCCCUAAGAGACCAGGUCGAUUCGUUCAACCCCCAUCGAGCUCAACGGCAAUACAUCCGGGGUUUUCGGAACCAACGGUUUUCCCCAGAAAAGCAUCAAAUUUUCCUUAGCAUGCUAUGAAUGCUUGAUGAACACCUCGACGCCACAUGUCAAACAUCUACCACGUGGACUAGCAUCGCCUAUAAAAAAUUACUUUUUAUUACUUUUUGAACCAUAGAAUUAUCAUUUAUGGUGAUCAGGAUACCAUUCAGCUGUAUUCUGAACCUCCAAAUAAAAAAAAAACUUUUAUGGUGCAAAUUUUACAAUCACGUGGUAGCUGUUUGACACGUGGCGUCGCGGUUUUCAUCAAGCAUUCAUAGCAUGCUAAGGAAAAUUUGAUGCUUUUCUGGGGAAAACCGUUGGUUCCGAAAACCCCGGAUGUAUUGCCGUUGAGCUCGAUGGGGGUUGAACGAAUCGACCUGGUCCCUUAGGGAAAGUUGUUCUCCAGACGAUUCCGCUCAUUUCUGGCCAUCCUAGAAGUUUCUACAUGUUUUCCCCAGGCCUGUAGGAGCGAAUGAAUGAAAAUUCAAAAUUUCCCAUAGUAAUUUCCAUGUAAACUUGAACCCGCUUGAGACAAGCCAGUUUUCAACCAAAUGAGCUGAAAUUUGGCGUGAGAGUCCCUUUGGGUAUGCCCUAUAAGAGGAACCACACCAAAACUUGAUUUGAGAACUUUUCAAAAUCCGUACCCACCCUAUUAACCAUACGAGGCUCUAGAUUUUUUUUAAGAUUUUGGGCAAAUUUUUGAAUUGAUUGUACUCUAUUUGACUUCGUUGUUUAACUGAAACUACGACUUAGGGUUCUUUGCGCUAUUUUAAACUGUAACAUUUUAUUUUACACUUUUCAAAACCUUAUUAAUCAUAAUCACCCAAUGGUGGCAUGCAUUUUUCACAGAUCUUCAUAAUAUUUUUUGAACAAUAAUAGAAUUUUAUUUAUGUUUCACUUAGUUAAUCCAAAAAAUUGCUGCAAACUCAUAAACAUUUAAAACAAGCAAAAUACAAAAACUCGAAUAGAAAUUCUGUUUUUACGAGCAUAAUUCAUUACAGUUAAAAUAUCCGUUUCGCAAACGAUUUGCGAGCAAACAAACUAUUGUCCAAAUUUUUAACACUGGGGUUUUCUCCGCCAACUCACACAACAGUUGCCCCGACCCAUCUUCGAUUUGCGUGAAACUUUGUCCGAAGGGUUAACAUUUGUCCCUGAUCACGAAUCCGAGGUACGUUUUUUUUAAUAUCUUGAGACGGAAGGGCGAUCCCUUCAAUUUUUGAACAUGCGAAACGAUACAUGUUUUUUUAUAAUUUGCAGCCUGAAAAGGUGUUGAUAUAGAAAAUUGGUGUCAAAGGGACUUUUUUGCAAUUCCGUCGUGAAACUACUUACUUUUCCUGUCAUUCUUGAACGACGAAAUAGUUUACUUUUCUGUACCAAAAAUAACAGAAUCGAAUAGCAACACUUUUCAAAAUAAAUGCUGAAAAGUUCUACUUUUCAGCACUCAAAUGGGUGCUGAAAAGUUGAACUUUUCAGCACUUGUUUUGAAAAGUAACACUUUUUAACAUUUUUUUGAUUGAAACGAUGUAUUGACAAAAUACAUGAAAAUUUGACAUAAAAUUUCACUCAGUGUGUGUUUUUUGGAAUCGCAAAAAAUGUUGUAUGAAACUCGUUGCAAAACUUGAUUUUUUGAGCACUCUUCGUAUUUAUCCAACUCGGUGAACCUCGUUGGAUAAAUGUACGACUCGUGCUGAAAAAAUCCUCUUUUUGCAACUUGUUGCAUAAACUACUAUUAUGUAAAAUUGGACGCCCGAUUUGAUGGCGUGCUAAAAAUAUUGAAACAAUUGAUGAAAAAUCGAUAAAAAACACAAAAAAAAUUAAAAACUCUGCCAUUUUCAAUCAAAAUUAAAUUAUUCGCUCUACAGCAUUGCCUUGGCGUUCCCGAUUUCAAGAUUCCUACUCGAAACUAGGUGUCCGAAGGCUUGAUUGUUGAGGCAAUUGCGAACCUCUUUUUACACCUAAGCUUCCAUCCACCCCGGGAUUCGAACUGACGACCUUUGGAUUGUGAGUCCAACUGCCUACCAGCGACUCCACCGGGACAGGACCCAGGGAGACGACUCCUACACCUGGACUGAGCUAUCGACCUAACCGCUAGGUUAGACCGGGGCCAACAUUUACUUCCCCAUCCGACGGAAGGCGUGAUCAGACAAAUCUCGUCUCAAAAUUUGCCACCGGGACCUUCUGGGAUCGAACCCAGGCCGACUGGGUGAGAGGCAAUCACGCUUACCCCUACACCACGGUCCCGGCUUAU